AUGCAAUGGUGUGGACACUUCCUUACGAGCUCCUUAUAUCUUUCCCAAGCUUCAUAUAAAGAUUUUCCUUCUUGUUGUACAAAUAAUGUGAUCUCUCCUCUUAGUUU